rnacentral:rRNA from 1 species
GACGAACGCUGGCGGCGUGCUUAACACAUGCAAGUCGAACGGAAAGGCCCUGCUUUUGUGGGGUGCUCGAGUGGCGAACGGGUGAGUAACACGUGAGUAACCUGCCCUUGACUUUGGGAUAACUUCAGGAAACUGGGGCUAAUACCGGAUAGGAGCUCCUGCUGCAUGGUGGGGGUUGGAAAGUUUCGGCGGUUGGGGAUGGACUCGCGGCUUAUCAGCUUGUUGGUGGGGUAGUGGCUUACCAAGGCUUUGACGGGUAGCCGGCCUGAGAGGGUGACCGGCCACAUUGGGACUGAGAGACGGCCCAGACUCCUACGGGAGGCAGCAGUGGGGAAUAUUGCACAAUGGGCGGAAGCCUGAUGCAGCAACGCCGCGUGCGGGAUGACGGCCUUCGUGUUGUAAACCGCUUUCGCCUGUGACGAAGCGUGAGUGACGGUAAUGGGUAAAGAAGCACCGGCUAACUACGUG